rnacentral:rRNA from 1 species
GACGAACGCUGGCGGCGUGCUUAACACAUGCAAGUCGAACGGAAAGGCCCUGCUUUUGUGGUGUGCUCGAGUGGCGAACGGGUGAGUAACACGUGUGUAACCUGCCCUUGACUUUGGGAUAACUUCAGGAAACUGGGGCUAAUACCGGAUAGGAGCUCCUGCUGCAUGGUGGGGGUUGGAGAGUUUCGGCGGUUGGGGAUGGACUCGCGGCUUAUCAGCUUGUUGGUGGGGUAGUGGCUUACCAAGGCUUUGACGGGUAGCCGGCCUGAGAGGGUGACCGGCCACAUUGGGACUGAGAUACGGCCCAGACUCCUACGGGAGGCAGCAGUGGGGAAUAUUGCACAAUGGGCGGAAGCCUGAUGCAGCAACGCCGCGUGCGGGAUGACGGCCUUCGGGUUGUAAACCGCUUUCGCCUGUGACGAAGCGUGAGUGACGGUAAUGGGUAAAGAAGCACCGGCUAACUACGUG